rnacentral:tRNA from 1 species
CGGGACGUAGCACAGCUUGGUAGCGCACUACCUUGGGGUGGUAGGGGGCGAGGGUUCAAAUCCCUCCGUUCCGACCA